rnacentral:rRNA from 1 species
CCUACGGGAGGCAGCAGUGGGGGAUAUUGGACAAUGGAGGCAACUCUUAUCCAGCGAUGCCGCGUGAGUGAAGAAGGUCUUCGGUAUGUAAAGCUCUGUCAGCAGGGAAGAAAGAAAUGACGGUACCUGAUCAAUAAGCCCCGGCUAACUACGUGCCAGCAGCCGCGGUAAUACGUAGGGGGCAAGCGUUAUUCGGAAUUACUGGGGGUAAAGGGUGUGUAGGCGGUGUAGCAAUGUAGAAGUGAAAGACCUGGAGCUCAACCCCGGGACUGCUUCGAAAACUGUUAUACUUGAGUGCAGUAGAGGAAAGUGGAAUUCCUAGUGUAGCGGUGAAAUGCGUAGAUAUUAGGAGGAACACCAGUGGCGAAGGCGACUUACUGGACUGUAACUGACGUUGAGGCUCGAAAGUGUGGGGAGCAAACAGGAUUAGAUACCCGUGUAGUC